rfam:Fibulorhizoctonia sp. CBS 109695 unplaced genomic scaffold FIBSPscaffold_110, whole genome shotgun sequence.
GCCCGCCUAGCUCAAUCGGAUAGAGCGUCAGACUCUUACAUAGGCGGGUUAGUCCAUUGGACAUCUGAAGGCUGCGAGUUCGACCCUCGCGGUGGGCU